GAGAACGCUGGCGGCGUGCCUAACACAUGCAAGUCGAACGGAGAUACGAUUUCGGUUGUAUCUUAGUGGCAACGGGUGAGUAACGCGUGAGCAACCUGACUCUUAAGGGGGAUAACACCUGGAAACAAGUGCUAAUACCGCAUAAGACCACGACCCGGCAUCGGGAUGAGGUCAAAGGAGCAAUCCGCUGAGAGAGGGGCUCGCGUCCCAUUAGAUAGAUGGCGGGGUAACGGCCCACCAUGUCAGCGAUGGGUAGCCGAGCUGAGAGGCUGAUCGGCCACACUGGAACUGAGACACGGUCCAGACUCCUACGGGAGGCAGCAGUGGGGAAUAUUGGACAAUGGGCGCAAGCCUGAUCCAGCAACGCCGCGUGGAGGAUGAAGGCCUUCGGGUUGUAAACUCCUGUUAGGGGGAACGAAGGGUCACGGGUUAACAGCCGGUGACCUUGACGGUACCUCCAGAGGAAGCCCCGGCUAACUCUGUG
rnacentral:rRNA from 1 species